UCCAGACUCCUACGGGAGGCAGCAGUGAGGAAUAUUGGUCAAUGGGCGGGAGCCUGAACCAGCCAAGCCGCGUGAGGGAAGAAGGUACAGCGUAUCGUAAACCUCUUUUGUCAGGGAACAAAGGCGGGGACUAGUCCCCGGAUGAGGGUACCUGAAGAAAAAGCAUCGGCUAACGCCGUGCCAGCAGCCGCGGUAAUACGGAGGAUGCGAGCGUUAUCCGGAUUUAUUGGGUUUAAAGGGUGGGCAGGCGGCCUGUUAAGACAGGGGAAAACGCCGGGGGCUCACCCCCGGCGAGCCGUUGAAACUGGCGGGCUGGAGUUGGAGAGAAGUAUGCGGAAUGCGUGGUGUAGCGGUGAAAUGCAUAGAUAUCACGCAGAACUCCGAUUGCGAAGGCAGCAUACCGGCGCCCAACUGACGCUGAAGCACGAAAGCGUGGGUAUCGAACAGGAUUAGAUACCCCAGUA
rnacentral:rRNA from 1 species